AACGAACGCUGGCGGCAUGCCUAACACAUGCAAGUCGAACGAGAUCUUCGGAUCUAGUGGCGCACGGGUGCGUAACGCGUGGGAAUCUGCCCUUGGGUUCGGAAUAACAGUGAGAAAUUACUGCUAAUACCGGAUGAUGUCUUCGGACCAAAGAUUUAUCGCCCAAGGAUGAGCCCGCGUAGGAUUAGGUAGUUGGUGGGGUAAUGGCCUACCAAGCCGACGAUCCUUAGCUGGUCUGAGAGGAUGAUCAGCCACACUGGGACUGAGACACGGCCCAGACUCCUACGGGAGGCAGCAGUGGGGAAUAUUGGACAAUGGGCGAAAGCCUGAUCCAGCAAUGCCGCGUGAGUGAUGAAGGCCUUAGGGUUGUAAAGCUCUUUUACCAGGGAUGAUAAUGACAGUACCUGGAGAAUAAGCUCCGGCUAACUCCGUGCCAGCCGCCGCGGUAACAC
rnacentral:rRNA from 1 species